rnacentral:rRNA from 1 species
CCCUUAGAUGUCCUGGGCCGCACGCGCGUUACACUGAUGCAUUCAACGAGCUUAUAACCUUGGCCGAGAGGCCUGGGCAAUCUUGUUAACGUGCAUCGUGAUAGGGAUAGAUUAUUGAAAUUAUUAAUCUUGAACGAGGAAUUCCUAGUAAACGCAGAUCAUCAAUCUGCAUUGAUUACGUCCCUGCCCUUUGUACACACCGCCCGUCGCACCUACCGAUUGGAUGGUCCGGUGAAGCCUCGGGAUUGUGCCCAGAGAACUUUAUUGUGAUUUGGGUGUGAGAACUUGUCUAAACCUUAUCAUUUAGAGGAAGGUGAAGUCGUAACA